GAUUCACUUUUCUUCCUCGCAGCCUCAGGAAGUGCCGCCACCGAUCUCUUGCCCUGACUAUCUCGACAAGGUGGUCACCUUCGCCUCGCGCGCCGGAGCUCGCUUCUACAAAUGCGUCAGGAAAGAUGCUGAGCUAUGCGGGUUCAUUAGAUCCACGGACACGUACCUGCCGGAGCUGACUCACGCAGGGCUGAUGCAGCCGUCGGCUCCCCUUGAGCAGAGAUACAUGCGAGACCACAACUUCGACCACGGCAGCCAGGCGGAGAUUCAGCCACCACAUGUGCGCAUGCAGCCACAGGUGCAGCAGCCGAGCCUCCCCUGUGCCGCGCCUCCAUGCUGCUCUUGGCCGGAACCAACUUCAUCCUCGUCCUGCCAGCUAAUCCAACCCUAGUCCUGCAUGACAAAUCAGCAAACUGAUUACACAUCAUGGCCGAGACUGUUCGUUUGUAGUGGAACACAUAUACUUAACACAUUUCUUUCAUCAUACUUCUGCACAAUCAUGGAAAUUUCAAAACAUACUCGAAAAA